CUUCUACAAACUGAUUGGAUGCAGCUGCGCACACUGAUUGGUUGUGGGUCCUUGGGUCCGUGGGUCCAUUCAUAUUAGUCUUGAUCCUUGAAUCUUGAUCUGUGCACUGGUCAACAAUAUUUGCUCAAAUAUGCCACCUUUACGAUCAAAGUACAAAUCCUACUUAUUGGAUAAGGAGAAGAAAAUACCAAGACAACAGCAUACAGACACAAGAAGGGAAAAGGCAGAAGAGGAUACAAGCACUACCUUUACAGCACUGGUGUUGAAGUCCCUGACAGAAAUUUAGAACAUCAUGACAGAGAAAAUGGAUCAGCUGCUGAGGACGAUGUGGUUGAUAUAGGAGAGCACCAGACCAUGCAAGGGCCAGGGGCUGAGAGACCCAACCCAAAUCCAUCCCAGGAUGGAAAUGGUGGAGAUGACCUUUUGUACCCUGGAGCACCAAUUACCAAAGGUCAAAGUUUGCUCCUUCUAAUGGCCUACGUCCUGAGGCAUAACCUGACCGGGAUUGCUCUGGACCAUCUUUUACAGAUUUUCCAUGAACUUUUCCCUGCACUGAUACCAACAACCUCUUAUCUCUUCUAUAAAUCCUAUGGCCAAUAUGGCGAGUAUGUGCCCCAUUUCUACUGCCAUCAGUGUUCAAAUUAUAUUGGAACAAAAGAAUGUGGUUUGACACAGUGUGUUCUGUGUGAGGCAGAAUUU